GAUGAAGAACGUAGCGAAAUGCGAUAAGUAAUGUGAAUUGCAGAAUUCAGUGAAUCAUCCAAUCUUUGAACGCACAUUGCGCCCCCUGGUAUUCCGGGGGGCAUGCCUGUCCGAGCGUCAUUACAACCCUCAAGCUCAGCUUGGUGUUGGGCCCCGCCGCCCCGGCGGGCCCUAAAGUCAGUGGCGGUGCCGUCCGGCUCCGAGCGUAGUAAUUCUUCUCGCUCUGGAGGUCCGGUCGUGUGCUCGCCAGCAACCCCCAAUUUUUUUCAGGUUGACCUCGGAUCAGGUAGGGAUACCCGCUGAACUUAAGCAUAUCAAUAAGCGGAGGA
rnacentral:misc_RNA from 1 species